UACAGAGGGUGCAAGCGUUGUUCGGAAUUAUUGGGCGUAAAGCGCGUGUAGGCGGCUUUGCAAGUCGGGUGUGAAAGCCCUCAGCUCAACUGAGGAAGUGCGCCCGAAACUGCAGAGCUUGAGUGCCGGAGAGGGUGGCGGAAUUCCCGGUGUAGAGGUGAAAUUCGUAGAUAUCGGGAGGAACACCAGUGGCGAAGGCGGCCACCUGGACGGACACUGACGCUGAGACGCGAAAGCGUGGGGAGCAAACAGG
rnacentral:rRNA from 1 species